UCUAAAGAAAGGCAAAAAAUCAGAUUUCAGUCCAGCGGGAAGAGAAUAUCCCAAAAGUACAUUCCCGUCAAGAUGUUAUGCCGCCUAAAGAUUUUUUGGUAGUGGUGGCCGUACUGCAUAUUAUGAUGGAGCCGAGAUCCGCUUUAUUGACAAUAUCCACUCCCAUUUCUCCCUCCCGACGAUAUCUGGGAUCCGAUGCACGCGUUUCAAAUCGGUUUCAAAGGAAGCAUCACGGAGGUAGAGCCUUGCCCACCAUAUCAAGUCAUGGAUUAUACACUCAGCGAAGUCCUGUCAUGCUGUCGUCCUCCACCGGGGUGAUUAAGAGGUAGGAUUGUUUUCUGAAAGUGGAGCAAAAUUGAAAGUCGCAAUCAAAAGAAUCGAUGGCAAAACUCAGGAUAUGAUAUACAAGUCUGUGAGUCGCCAUACAUGCAAGGCCGUCAUUUUAUAG